UACAGAGGGUGCGAGCGUUAAUCGGAAUUACUGGGCGUAAAGGGCGCGUAGGCGGCCAGCACAAGUCAGUUGUGAAAUCUCCGAGCUUAACUCGGAAAGGUCAACUGAUACUGUGCGGCUAGAGUGCGGAAGGGGCAACUGGAAUUCUUGGUGUAGCGGUGAAAUGCGUAGAUAUCAAGAGGAACACCUGCGGCGAAGGCGGGUUGCUGGGCCGACACUGACGCUGAGGCGCGAAAGCUAGGGGAGCGAACGGG
rnacentral:rRNA from 1 species